UCCGUUGUCGUCCAGCGGGUAGGAUAUCUGGCUUUCACCCAGGAGACUCGGGUUCGAUUCCCGGCAACGGAA
rnacentral:tRNA from 1 species